rnacentral:rRNA from 1 species
UACGAAGGGGGCUAGCGUUGCUCGGAAUUACUGGGCGUAAAGCGCACGUAGGCGGCUUUCUAAGUCGGGGGUGAAAUCCUGGAGCUCAACUCCAGAACUGCCUUCGAUACUGGAAAGCUCGAGUCCGGGAGAGGUGAGUGGAACUGCGAGUGUAGAGGUGAAAUUCGUAGAUAUUCGCAAGAACACCAGUGGCGAAGGCGGCUCACUGGCCCGGUACUGACGCUGAGGUGCGAAAGCGUGGGAGCAAACAGG